CUGGGCAGGUGGAGUACCUCCAUCACAGUUGCUCGCCAUCUCCCGGAAUCCGCGGACAUCGGGCAUGCACCUGCGCUGUGCUCCCCCGCGUCCGUCGCGGACGGUGAAGGGACGCUGAGAAUUCCAGCUAUCUGCCACGUGGGUCCAUCACACCUACAUCCGCCCUGCCGAUCCCUUCCCUGAGCGAGACGACUCCUCACCAGAAUGGAAGGCUGUCGGAGACGACAACAACCCCCUCAGACAGUGAAUAUGACUGUACUUCUCACUCUCAUUGCAACUGUAAGUUUGACCCAGGUAACGCCGAACCCACAUUGGCCAUACAGAUGGGAAUUGAGACGAUGGGCGGAUGGCACAGUUGUAACCGCCUUCAAGGGGCCCCUGGGAGGAGAGCCUCCUCACUGUAUAAUCACCUUAUGUUCCCUCGUCACCGGCUCGCCCUGUGAGUGUGCACCCCAGCGUGUGUUGAGGAACGCUGCAGAUUUCUACAUGUGUCCAGCUCAGGGACCUUCUUACUGUAACCGACCUGACCACCACUAUUGUGGAUAUUGGGGUUGCGAAAGGGUGGCAACUGCCUGGCAGCCGCUCCAGGUGGAUGCUGACAUAGCUGUUGGCUGGUGGCCCCCAGGAUGUACAGCGUUGGAGGGCGGCCGAUAUCCGGCACGAGGAAAGGGAAAACCCUGUCCCGCGAAACCACAUGUGACUUGUGUAGACUUGUGUGGACGCAUAAGGAUAAAUAUAACCAAUCCAAAGGACCCAAAAUGGGAUUAUGGAAAAUCAUGGGGAAUGCUUUAUUAUGAGGAAGGGACAGACCAGGGAGGCGGAAUCAUAAUCCAAAGGUACCUGGAAAAAGACUCGCCCACUCCCAUGGGCCCAGAUCGGGUGUUAGCUCCCGCUUCUGGACAAAAAUCGACUCAAGCUACGCUGAGUGUCUACCCAGAACUACUGACGCUGCUGAUACUGACCGUGAGCCGGGAGGGUUAGAUCUUGUAUUCCUCCAGCAAGGAGGCUUAUGCACAGACUGGGAGAAGGAUGCUGUUGCCAAGUUGAUUGUUCAGGAGUAGCAAGGAAUCGCUAGCAAAGGUACUGGAAGGUCUAGCCAAAAGGAGGUGA